rnacentral:rRNA from 1 species
UACAGAGGGUGCAAGCGUUAAUCGGAUUUACUGGGCGUAAAGCGUGUGUAGGUGGCCGCGUAAGUCGGUUGUGAAAUCCCUGGGCUUAACCUGGGAAUUGCAUCCGAUACUGCGUGGCUAGAGUUCGGUAGAGGGCAGCAGAAUUCCCGGUGUAGCGGUGAAAUGCGCAGAUAUCAGGAAGAACACCCGUGGCUAAGGCGGCUCUCUAGUACGGUACUGACGCUGAGACGCGAAAGCGUGGGGAGCGAACAGG